GUGUCAGGACAGCGGUGUCAGGACAGGGGUGUCAGGACAGCGGCGGCAGCAGUAGCUGCCGGGCGGUGUGAGGGCGAGGGGCCAUGGCCCUUGCUCUCCGCCUCUUCCUCCCCCUCCUCCUGGCAGUGGCCCUGCACGCCAGGGCUGCCCAGGCUGCUCCGGUGCCAGCGCGGGGAGCAGGUCCUCCAACAGGCAAGAACCAACCUCCAGGUGAAAAGAAAUCCCAGGAGGCAAUGGAACUUCUGGACAAGAUGCUGAGUGAACUGGAGAGACAGCGAGAGAUGGACCGAGAGGCUGUGCUGAAAGCAGUGGUUCCAAAAGAAACAAACGACUCUUUGCCAGAGUCUCCUGAAGGAAGGAAGGCGAUGCCAGGCACUGGCAAGCCGGGUAAGCUGAAAGCACGACAGGUUGGAGGCAUCUGGAGCACAUUCCACAGCCCCUGGGAAACGGGACU
rnacentral:lncRNA from 1 species